rnacentral:rRNA from 1 species
GCGGCGGACGGGUGAGUAAUGCUUAGGAAUCUGCCUAUUAGUGGGGGACAACGUUUCGAAAGGAACGCUAAUACCGCAUACGCCCUANGGGGGAAAGCAGGGGAUCUUCGGACCUUGCGCUAAUAGAUGAGCCUAAGUCAGAUUAGCUAGUUGGUGGGGUAAAGGCCUACCAAGGCGACGAUCUGUAGCGGGUCUGAGAGGAUGAUCCGCCACACUGGGACUGAGACACGGCCCAGACUCCUACGGGAGGCAGCAGUGGGGAAUAUUGGACAAUGGGGGGAACCCUGAUCCAGCCAUGCCGCGUGUGUGAAGAAGGCCUUUUGGUUGUAAAGCACUUUAAGCGAGGAGGAGGCUCUUCUAGUUAAUACCUAGGAUGAGUGGACGUUACUCGCAGAAUAAGCACCGGCUAACUCUGUGCCAGCAGCCGCGGUAAUACAGAGGGUGCGAGCGUUAAUCGGAUUUACUGGGCGUAAAGCGUACGUAGGCGGCUUUUUAAGUCGGAUGUGAAAUCCCUGAGCUUAACUUAGGAAUUGCAUUCGAUACUGGGAAGCUAGAGUAUGGGAGAGGAUGGUAGAAUUCCAGGUGUAGCGGUGAAAUGCGUAGAGAUCUGGAGGAAUACCGAUGGCGAAGGCAGCCAUCUGGCCUAAUACUGACGCUGAGGUACGAAAGCAUGGGGAGCAAACAGGAUUAGAUACCCUGGUAGUCCAUGCCGUAAACGAUGUCUACUAGCCGUUGGGG